rnacentral:rRNA from 1 species
CAGGACGAACGCUGGCGGCGUGCCUAACACAUGCAAGUCGAGCGAGGAGAUCCUUCGGGAUGAUCCUAGCGGCGGACGGGUGAGUAACACGUGGGCAACCUGCCUCAUAGAGAGGAAUAGCCUUCCGAAAGGGAGAUUAAUACCUCAUAACACUGCAGUUUCGCAUGGAACAGCAAUUAAAGGAGUAAUCCGCUAUGAGAUGGGCCCGCGGCGCAUUAGCUAGUUGGUGAGGUAACGGCUCACCAAGGCGACGAUGCGUAGCCGACCUGAGAGGGUGAUCGGCCACAUUGGGACUGAGACACGGCCCAGACUCCUACGGGAGGCAGCAGUGGGGAAUAUUGCACAAUGGGGGAAACCCUGAUGCAAGCAACGCCGCGUGAGUGAUGACGGCCUUCGGGUUGUAAAGCUCUGUCUUCAGGGACGAUAAUGACGGUACCUGAGGAGGAAGCCACGGCUAACUACGUGCCAGCCGCUGC